rnacentral:lncRNA from 1 species
GAUUCUGAUUCAGUAGGCCUUUGCCAGGGCAGAGGUAUGUAGGUGAUGCUCACGCUCAGCUAGGUUUGGGAGCAACCAGACUAGAACCCAUUCACAUACAGACUCUUAGUAAAUGUUUUCUGCUCUCAUCUUGCAAAGUGAAAGUGCCCAGCACAGGCAAUGGUGUUAGUACGUUGUAGUCAUUCACAAACUAGGGCUGCCCAGAAGAGAGACAGGCUGGGACUUUCGAGAGAGAAACAGCUGUUUCAUUUGAAUGCCUGGUGUGGGAAGAAGAAGGACAGCCUAGCUUCAUGGAACCUUCUUGCACCAAACAAAGCCUCCAGAUCCCUCCACAGUGCUCCAUUCAAUCCCUGUCCAUUGGUGGUGGACCAAAGAAGAAACCAAUUUGCCUUGGCCACAUGUCUUUGAGAAAAAAAGCCACUCUCCCUUCUGGGACUCAGAGCAUCUGUACCUGUAAUAUAAGAGGGGAAUGUGGAAAAUUCUAACUGGAUGAUCACUUUUCUGUGGAGGGAAAAACACAUUUUUUGUUUUAAGGGGCUAGCCAGCAUCAAACCUUUUUUUGAGAUGGAGUCUCGCUCUGUCACCCAGGCUAGAGUGCAAUGGCACUAUCUCCGAUCACUUGAACCCAGGAGGAGGAGGUUUCAGUCAGUAGAGAUUGAACUACUAUACUCUAGCCUGGAUGACAAAGUAAGACCUUGUCAAAAAAAAAAAAAAAAAAAAAAAAAAAAAAAGAAGGAUAAUCAAGACAAUGAGCUAACACAGAAGCCAUAGUGGACUUUCUUCAAUAUUUUAAGAAAGGUGAAAAAUAGCAGGAAUUUAACCUCUCAAAAAUGCUAUUCCCAUUAUCUAUUCUUCCUCAGCUACAAAGCCCCUGAUUUCACCUAGGCACAUGGCUGCCCAAAAAAGACAACCCUGUCUGGCCCCCCUUAAACCUGAUUGUAGCUAUCUAAGUUGUAGCCAAUGAGGUGUCAGAGGAAGUACCAUGCAGUGCAACUUCUUAAGUAGCCUAGAAAGAUGGGGUCACAUCCCCCUGGGUUGUUUCCUUCUUUGUGUCAUUUUGAUCUCUCUCGCUGGAAAACAGAAAUGAUGUCUGGAGUGUAAGCAGCCAUCUUGGGCUAGGAGACUACAUGCUGACAUGGUGACACACCACCCAGAAAGAAUCUGAGUAGUCGAUGAUCACAGAGCUACCAUAUCAGCACUAGACUCUCUACCUCCACAUUUUAUUUGUGUGACAUAGAAAUAAAGUUUAAGCUUUGUUUUUUCUGGGGUGUAUGUGUGUACACAUGUGCGUCUCUGUCUGUCUCACAUGCAGUGAGACCUAAUUCUAACUGAUAUGCCGGUAGGAUGGGGGGACCUUGCCACAAGGUAUAAUUGUGGUGGGAUGGCUGUGUCUUGCUCCCAUUCAGGAUCCAUGGAAAGCUCCUCCUCCUUCCUGUUCCCCUGGAUGCCAAGCGAUGGGCCUGAGACCCUGGCUUUGCCAUGUGGAUGCUCCCCCUCAGGACUUUGGAUGUGCAGUGAUUGCUACAAAAAGGGCAAUGAAGAUGCCUGGACCACAGCCACACAGUCUCCAUCACAGCAGUGGUAUUCUGUGGAAUGAGUACUAAUUUUCUGGCCACAUUUUCUGUUAAAAACUGGUUGUUGAGCUGCCCACUUGUCUUGGUCAAGGGAUGCUGGAGUGGCCUGGGAAGGCAGUGUUGUUUGCUUUUCUUAGGAUGGAACACACUUAGGCAUAUUUUUGGUCAAAGCAAAAGAAGAAUUCAAAGGUGAGAGAAGUUGAAGAUAAAAAGGGGAAAAUGAGGGUAGCAGAUGAAGCAAAGUCACACAGAAAGCUGGCAGGCGAGUAGUAGAAUCAGAGUACAGGCUGAGCAUCCCAAAUCUGAAAAUCCAAAAUCGGAAGUGCUCCAAAACCUGAAACUUUUGGAGCACCAACACAAUGCUCAAAGUAAAUGCUCAGUGAAGCAUUUUGGAUUUCAUAUUUUCAGAUUUGGGUUUGCCCAACCGGUGUAAUACAAAUAUUCCAAAAUCAAAAAAAAAAAAAAAAAAAAAUCUAAAGUCUGAAACACUCCUGGUCCCAAGCAUUUUGAAUACAGGAUACUCAACCUGUAUGACACUUUCCUAUUGGACCCUCUUUCCUACCCCAAAUAAUACUUAAUAAGUUUUUGUUUCAAAAGUGCCACUCUGAGCAUCUUUGGCUAUAAGGAGCAGAGUCACAUUCUAGCUCCCCUGGCACCUGCUUCACAGGAGCCCAUGUGAGAAGACCAGGUUCUGGUCAGGACAGGCAUACCUGAGAGCUGUUGGGGUCUGUGAUCUGCUGAAAAAUGACUUCUCAAUGUUCUUCACAUCCUAAUCCUCAGAAACUGUGAAUAUAUUACUUUAUAUGACAACAGGGAUUUUAAAGAUGUGAUUAAGUAAAUAGUUUGGAGAUGGACAGAUUAUCCUGGAUUAUCCAGAUGGGCCCAAUGUAAACACAAGGGCCCUCAUGAGAGGGAGGCAAGAGGGUCAGAGAAGAUGCUGUGACAGCAGAAGCAGAGGACAGAGAGUCGCAGAGAGAUUUGAAGAUACUACACAGCUGGCUUUGAAAAUGCAGGAAAGGGCCAUAUCUGUUGCUUCACACCACUAAGUUUGUGAUAAUUUGUUACAGCAGCAGUGGGAAACUAAUAGAGCAUCUUUCCUUUUUUUCUAGUUAAAGGACUCACUUGUACGUGUACACAUUUCUCAGGAGUCCUGUCAACCACUGGGAAGAAAGAGGCUGGACUUCUGCAUUGAACCCAGGAACGGGGUUUCACAGCAAUGGAAACCUGGGGUUAAAUAUCAAUGGAACCUUACAUGACUUGAAGAAUCUUUAAUACAAGCUAGGUUUUGACCCCAAAUUAGACAUUUGGCAGCCUCUCAUUACAGUCUAUCUUGCAAACCUCAGUGUGGCAAGGAAUCAGAUUCACCCACACUCCCUAGUCUAAAGGAUUGUCCUCUGAUCCUUCCAGGUGGAUUAAGCCCUUUCUAAUCUGUCAUGGACAGAGCAAUGUACCUGCCUUUGUUUGUUUUCCUUAAUUCUUUCAAGUGCCUUUGGGUAAUAAAUGGUUGCGUACUCAG